GAAACCCUGAUGCAGCUUCCGCGUGAGUGAUGACGGUCUUCGGAUUGUAAAGCUCUGUCUUUAGGGACGAUAAUGACGGUACCUAAGGAGGAAGCCACGGCUAACUACGUGCCAGCAGCCGCGGUAAUACGUAGGUGGCAGGCGUUGUCCGGAUUUACUGGGCGUAAAGGGAGCGUAGGUGGAUAUUUAAGUGGGAUGUGAAAUACUCGGGCUUAACUUGGGUGCUGCAUUCCAAACUGGAUAUCUAGAGUACAGGAG
rnacentral:rRNA from 1 species